GACGAACGCUGGCGGCGUGCCUAAUACAUGCAAGUAGAACGCUGAAGCGAGGAGCUUGCUCUUCUUGGAUGAGUUGCGAACGGGUGAGUAACGCGUAGGUAACCUGCCUUGUAGCGGGGGAUAACUAUUGGAAACGAUAGCUAAUACCGCAUAACAAUGGAUGACACAUGUCAUUUAUUUGAAAGGGGCAAUUGCUCCACUACAAGAUGGACCUGCGUUGUAUUAGCUAGUAGGUGAGGUAACGGCUCACCUAGGCGACGAUACAUAGCCGACCUGAGAGGGUGAUCGGCCACACUGGGACUGAGACACGGCCCAGACUCCUACGGGAGGCAGCAGUAGGGAAACUUCGGAAAUGGGGGCAACCCUGACCGAGCAACGCCGCGGGAGUGAAGAAGGGUUUCGGAUCGUAAAGCUCUGUUGUAAGUCAAGAACGAGUGUGAGAGUGGAAAGUUCACACUGUGACGGUAGCUUAACAGAAAGGGACGGCUAACUACGUG
rnacentral:rRNA from 1 species